CGCGUGGCGAACGGGUGCGUAACACGUUGGAUAACCUUCCUUCAGGUGGGGAAUAACCCAGUGAAAAUUGGGCUAAUACCGCAUAACAUGACGAUGUCACAUGGCGUUGUCUUCAAAGCCGCAAGGCGCCAGAAGAGGGAUCCGCGGCCGAUUAGCUUGUUGGCGAGGUAAUGGCUCACCAAGGCAUUGAUCGGUAGCCGGACUGAGAGGUUGGCCGGCCACACUGGAACUGAGACACGGUCCAGACUCCUACGGGAGGCAGCAGUGGGGAAUCUUGCACAAUGGACGAAAGUCUGAUGCAGCAACGCCGCGUGGGGGAUGAAGCUUCUCGGAGUGUAAACCCCUUUCGACCCGGAAGAAUGCCCGCAAGGGCUUGACGGUACGGGUAUAAGAAGCCCCGGCUAACUACGUGCCAGCAGCCGCGGUAAUACGUAGGGGGCCAGCGUUGCUCGGAAUUACUGGGCGUAAAGGGUCCGUAGGCGGUGUGGCAAGUCGGGAGUGAAAUCUCUGGGCUUAACCCAGAGGCUGCUUCCGA
rnacentral:rRNA from 1 species